rnacentral:rRNA from 1 species
CCAUCAGGUCAAGCUGGGACGUCUAAUGAAACUGCCUACGCAAGUAGUGAGGAAGGUGGGGAGUGACGUCAAGUCAUCAUGGCCUUUAUGCCCAGGGCGUACACACGUGCUACAAUGGCCGGCACAGACGGCAGCUUAGUGGCGACACUUGGCAAAUCCUCUAAAGCCGGUCCCAGUUCGGAUUGUAGUCUGCAACUCGACUACAUGAAGCCGGAAUCGCUAGUAAUCGCAGAUCAGCCAAGCUGCGGUGAAUACGUUCCCGGGCCUU